GUUUCUGUGGUGUAGUGGUUAUCACAUCCGCUUUACACGCGGAAGUUCCCCAGUUCGAUCCCGGGCGGAAACA
rnacentral:tRNA from 1 species